GAUGAACGCUGGCGGCGUGCCUAAUACAUGCAAGUCGAGCGAACAGACGAGGAGCUUGUUCCUCUGACGUUAGCGGCGGACGGGUGAGUAACACGUGGAUAACCUACCUAUAAGACUGGGAUAACUUCGGGAAACCGGAGCUUAUACCGGAUAAUAUAUUGAACCGCAUGGUUCAAUAGUGAAAGACGGUUUUGCUGUCACUUAUCGAUGGUUCCGCGCCGCAUUAGCUAGUUGGUAAGGUAAAGGCUUACCAAGGCAACGAUGCGUAGCCGACCUGAGAGAGUGAUCGGCCACACUGGAACGGAGACACGGUCCAGACUCCUGCGGGAGGGAGCAGUAGGGAAUCGUCCGCAAUGGGCGAAAGCCUGACGGAGCAACGCCACGUGAGUGAUGAAGGUCUUCGGAUCGUAAAACUCUGUUAUUAGGGGAGAACAAAUGUGUAAGUAACUAUACACGUCGUGACGGUACCUAAUCAGAAAGCCACGGCUAACUACGUG
rnacentral:rRNA from 1 species